rnacentral:rRNA from 1 species
GACGAACGCUGGCGGCGUGCCUAAUACAUGCGAGCAGAACGCACAGUUUAUACCGUAGCUUGCUACACCAUAGACUGUGAGUUGCGAACGGGUGAGUAACGCGUAGGUAACCUGCCUGGUAGCGGGGGAUAACUAUUGGAAACGAUAGCUAAUACCGCAUAAUAUUGAUUAUUGCAUGAUAAUUGAUUGAAAGAUGCUAUUGCAUCACUACCAGAUGGACCUGCGUUGUAUUAGCUAGUAGGUGAGGUAACGGCUCACCUAGGCGACGAUACAUAGCCGACCUGAGAGGGUGAUCGGCCACACUGGGACUGAGACACGGCCCAGACUCCUACGGGAGGCAGCAGUAGGGAAUCUUCGGCAAUGGACGAAAGUCUGACCGAGCAACGCCGCGUGAGUGAAGAAGGUUUUCGGAUCGUAAAGCUCUGUUGUAAGAGAAGAACGGGUGUGAGAGUGGAAAGUUCACACUGUGACGGUAUCUUACCAGAAAGGGACGGCUAACUACGUG